AAAAGCGGGAUCCUAAUGGGCACUCCCAGUCGGCAGAGGCAGCCUCUGAAAGCUCCUCUUGUCAGUGGAUAGAAGGAUCCAUUGUUUUCCCAAUCUGAAGUUAUCACGCUUCCCUUUAUCCUUUCUUUUGGACCUUUUAGUGUUUGCUUUAUCAGAAUAUUUUAAUCCCUUCUGUGGUGACUGGUGUAAUUUAUCUCAUUAAGCCUCUCCUGUUUUCUUCUGUUUACAUGACUAAUAUUAUUAUGUUUUAUGGAGCUUAUACCAACAAGCUCCUCCUUUGUCCCAUUGUUCCAGCUCUAGGCCAAAAAUCAACAAAGUUUUAUCUUUCCAAUCUUGGGCCUCACCUACUUGUCAUUCAGUUUGUACAGGUUGCGUGAAGAGCAUGUUCCUUUGAAAACAAAGCAAGGAUUCAUUUUUAUGACCUAAAACCAAACAAUUACCUUUCUCGAAAAGUCCUGGUCAUCUCUUUUUAUGAGUAUAGACUGGCAGAGACUCACCUUAUGAGGGAGGGAAAAAGCAGGUACUUCCUUGUUGGUCGAAAGCCCAAAGUCCCUGAGUAAAUAACGCCCUGCUCCCUAACCUGUAUUUUUUUCAUGGUGUAUAGAGUAUCCUGGAAGCAGAGAACCUGCACCCAGGAAGGCACCUGGUGAGUUUAUCGCAUCCAAGCCCCUGCCCUUGAGCAAGACACACCCAAGCCAGACUGAGCCAGACCAGAGGAGAAUGGGUCCUGUUUUUAAAGGUACAUGAAGGAGAGUCUUCACUGAACCAGUCACAUAUUUGAAAUAGCAUGUCAGAAAAUUCGUUCUCUAAAAAAAACCAGCCUAAUAAAAGCUUUUAUUGUCAUUUCCUCAAUUACGCUGCUUCUUUUCCAAAUUGAAAAUACCUGGGUGCCAUCCUCAGGGAAUCAACAACAAUUUAAUGAGCAAUAACUUCCCACAAGGCAGUGAUUCUCAAAUGUUAGUGCAGAUCAGAAUUACCUGGAGGCUUAUUAGAAACACAGGUUGCUGGACCCCAACCCCCAGAGUUUCUGAUUCCUGAGAUGGAGCAAAGCUUAAGAAUUUCAAGUUAAACAAGUUGACCUCUACAUAGAAAAUGCUAAAUACCUAUCAGAAAAUUUCUGUGCUGUCGGAGUCCAGGGGGGGAAGGCUGACCAUGAACAGUAGUUUAGGAUGUUAGCCAUUAACAUAGGGACCUGCGGGAGCAGAGCUGAGGAGCAGUGUUCAGGCCAGUUGGGGAAGAGGCCAGGAAAACUUCCUGCAGAACCGGAGGCCUGAGGAGUCAUUGCUAAGUUGUUGCUUAAGGAAGGGAAGGUAUGUGCUCUGCCAGCAGAAGGAACUGUAUAGGAUUAAAGAGGAGAUGUGGGGUUUUCUUGGAACAGCAGGUCAUACAGUUUUGUCAGAGGGGAGAGUGGCAAACAAUGUGAUGAUGACAGAACUGCAGAGGUAGUCAGGGGCUAGCUAGAUCAGCUGGCUUAAGGAGCAUGACAGUGUUCCAAAGACCAUUAUUUGAUGUGAGAUGAAAAAAGAAUAGAGGACACAAUUGUUCCCAAUCCUGUACUUCCUUCUCUGUUAACUGGGACUUCUCUACAGAGUUUACUCUGGUUUUCAGCUGAUGUCCAGGCCUUAACUUUCCAGCCUAAGUGUGGACAAAAUUCCCUUUCCUUUUAGUUUAGUUGAGAGCUUUUGGAGUUUCAUAAAGGGAUAUUUGUGAAAACACUAGGCAAACAUAAAACCAAAGUGAACAAAGAAUACUAGAGCUUGGUUCUGGAAAUAGGCUUCUAGCUCUAUCUUUCACUAGCUAUACUGCCUUGAGCUUGUUAACUAAUUUCUUGUGCCAUUGUUUCUGUAUUUAAAUAGAGACUUAAUUCUGUAACAAGAGCCACAAGAUCUUACAUGGUUUGACCCCUACUUGUCUUUCUCAGCCUCAUCUUAUAUCUAAUGAUUUUAACUUUUUCCGCUCCAGCUGCAUAAGUCUUUCAACCUUGUGUUUUUUCAUGAUCCCUUCUACCACAGGGCCUUUGCACAUACUGUGUCCUCUGUCUGGAAUAGUCUUGCCUUCCACUUCAGUAAUUACUAGAUUUAGAUUUAAGACCCACUCCCACUAGAAAAUCUUUGAUUUUCCCGAAUAGAUAAAAUCCCUCCUCUUAUAGAUUUUUUUGGGGUCUUUUUGGGUCUUUUUGUCUUUUUCUAGGGCCACACCCACGGCAUAUGGACGUUCCCAGGCUGGGGUCCAGUUGGAGCUGUUGCUGCCAGCCUACCACCAGAGCCACAGCAACGCUGGAUCCAAGCCGCGUCUGUGACCUACACCACAGCUCAUGGCAACACCGGAUCCUUAACCCACUGAUUGAGGCCAGGGAUUGAACCCGCAACCUCAUGGUUCCUAGUCAGAUUCGUUAACCACUGAGCCACGACAGGAACUCCCUCUUAAAGGGUUUUUUUAGUGUGAUGAACUUAUUUGAUAGCACUUAAUAUUGUUUUUUUCUGUGUAAUUUAAUAUUUCUCCUUUCCUAGACCAGGAGUCAGCAAACUAUUGCCAACUUUGGCUGGCAGCUUGUUUUUUUCUUUAUUUUAUGUAAUUUAUUUAUUUUUGCCUUUUUAGGGCCACACCACAGCAUAUUAAGUUCCCAGGCCAGCAGUUGAAUCAGAGCUGCAGCUGCCAGCCUAUGCCACAGCCACAGCCACGGCAACACACCAGAUCUGAGCCAAAUCUGCAACCUAUACCGCAGCUUGCAGCAACACUGGAUCCUUUAACCUACCGAGCGAAGCCAGGGAUAGAACCUGCAUCCUCAUGGACACUAGUUGGAUUCUUAUCCCACUGAGGCACAAAGGGAAAUCCAAGCAGCCUGUCUUUUUAAAAUAAAGUUUUGUUGAAACACAGCCAACCCACUUAAUUACAUAUUAUCUGUGGCCACUUUUGUACUAACUACAGUGGUAGAGUUGAGUAGUUGCAGCAGGUUUUAUGGCUCACAAAGCCUAAAUAAUUGCUCUGGCCCUUUAAAGAAAAAAAAUUUGCAAAUUUCUAUGUUUAACUAUGAUCUGCGUGAGAGCAGGCACAAGGUGUGUUUUUGCUUACUCACGUACCUUCAGCAUCUAGCUCAGUGUCUGCUACAUGGAAGAUGUGUGGUAAAUAAAUGAAUGAAUGAAUAAAUUUUCAAAAAUAAAUAUUAAGAGAUGCAAGCAAAACUCUGUUUUACUAGCAUGUUGAAAGGGUUAAGUAAGAUGAUAUAUGUAAAGAACUCAGCAGUGUAGUGCCUGAAACUUAGCAGAUGGUUAAUAAAUGUUGACAGUUAUUAUUCUCCAUCUUUCCUGAGUGCAUUUUAGUCUUCUCUCUGGCUCUGGACUUAAGCUGUCUGCUGGCCUGAUUUGUGUUCUUGUCCUUCACUUGUCCUAUUGUCUCUUGUCCUCUGACCUUUGCCUCAUGCAUGAGAAAGGCAUUUCUCUUUCUGACUCCAGGGUUCUUUCCUUGGUCUCAGAUUCUUAGCAUUGUCUUCUCUACUGUUCCCAGAGAUUUCCUUUUAGGAUAUUCAGUCUAUUUGAAGCAUAUUUUUCUCAAACCUUGUCAUAGCCUUAGGGUAACCUUCCUUUAACCUGUCCCCCAGGGCUUAGCUUCACCAAGGGUCAUCUAAGUGAUGGCACUUUUGUCUUAUUUUAUGGCCAGCUCCUUCAGCCACAGCAGACAAUUUCUUCUUUUCCGAUUUGGCAGGAGGAGCUGUAGGAUUGGAGGAAAGCUCCUAAUGAGAGAGCAAUGAACAGAGGCUGGAGAACUGAAUCUGUGUGGUUUUGAGGCAGGAAGGAUCAAAGCCCGGCCCAGAGAUUGUUCAGCCUGCAUACAGCCCAGCUGGGGCAGGGCCCAAAAGGAGGAGUCUUAGUGAAACAGGGGUCAGAGAACCUUAACCUGUGAGCCAAAUCCAGCCUGCCUCCCAUGUUUCUGUGCUCUCAUACUAGGAAUGGUUGGGGAGAAAAAUCAAAAGAAGAAUAUUUUAUGGUGCAUAAAAAUUAUAUGAAAUUCAAAUUUCAUUGUCCCUAAAUAAAGUCUUAUUGGAACACAGCUGCGCUCAUGUAUUUACAUCUAUGGCUGCUUUCACGUCACAACAGCAAAGCUGAGUAGUUGGUGUUCUAGACCAGAAGGCUGAAGAUGGGAGUUUGCAUUGUGGCUCAGUGGGUUAAGAACCUGACGUAGUGUCCGUGAGGAUGCGGGUUUUCGAUCCCUGGCCUUGUUCAGUGGGUUAAGGAUCUGGCAUUGCUGCAAGCCGCAGCAUAGUUUACAGUUGUGCUUUAGAUCUGGCAUUGCUAUGGCUGUGGUAUAGGUAGACAGCUGUAGCUCCAAUUCAGCCCCUAGCUUGGGAACUU
rnacentral:lncRNA from 1 species